rnacentral:lncRNA from 1 species
ACAAAACAGAGGGUAUUAUUUUACAAAUAUGAAACAGUAAUAUAUCAGCUAUGGAGGUCUGCGGGAGCCUAAAAACAUAAACUAGAAUAUUUUUAAAUCAUCUGAAAUCUCAUCAUACUGCCCUCUAGAUGGGUAUCAUUCCUGUCUUUGUUCCAGUUUAUUUAAAUAUGGAGAUAUUUGGACUCAGAGAAGAAAAGUAAACGCUCGAAGUCACAGAACUAGGAUUGAAGCCAGCCUUUACUGAGUGAGUUAUUUGCAGUUGUGCUGGUAAAUGUGCAACAAUCAACUCCCUGAAAAUAACCCCCCUGCUGAAAUAGCUGAAAGAUGCUGAGCCAGAAGAAAGCAAAAGAGGGGAAAGAUUGUCGUUCGUGACUGGGCAGCGGGUUCAGAGUGGAAGACAACUGAGGGCAGGGAGGGGCGGACAAAGGAGAAUGCUGACUUUCAUAAAGUAAAAGCAAAAUGAU